UUAUGGUGAUGAAUGAUUAUGGUGAUGCAUGAUGAUGAUGCAUGAUGAUGAUGAUGAUCAUCAUCAUCAUCAUCAUCAUGAUCAUGAUCAUGA